UACGGGGGGAGCAAGCGUUGUUCGGAUUUACUGGGCGUAAAGCGCGCGUAGGCGGUUUGUUAAGUGGGAUGUGAAAUCCCCGGGCUUAACCUGGGAAUUGCAUUUCAAACUGGCCGACUAGAGUACGGUAGAGGGAGGUAGAAUUUCCUGUGUAGCGGUGAAAUGCGUAGAUAUAGGAAGGAAUACCAGUGGCGAAGGCGGCCUCCUGGAUCGAUACUGACGCUGAGGCGCGAAAGCGUGGGGAGCAAGCAGG
rnacentral:rRNA from 1 species